AAAAAGGUUGUAUUUAUUGAGCCCGCUACCUGAGUUACGCGGAGAGGUUUUUUUUCUUUCGACAAUGGGAUAUGUUUUUACACCAUUUACCGAUUGUUUCCAUAAACCUCCAACAGAUGGAGUUAGAUAUACUAGAAUUACAUAAUUCAUUUUACACUUGUACUGUAAACAGUUUGGUUGUAAAAGUUUAGCAUUUGAUCAUAUUCAUAUGUAGGUUUAGUUAGCAACAAAUCGGGAUUGGUUUUGUUGGUAUUAGUCAGCAAACUUGUUUUUUUGAAUUAUGAAUUUAGAAUUAUGUAAAUAAUGGUAAGUUUUUAAUAAUAAUACAUAGCUUUAAUCCGUUCAAAAAGUUUUUUCUUAAUACAUACAGUCCGUUUACCACGACAUCGUUUGGAACUAUAUCAGUCAUAGUGACCAAAAUCAAAGGUCCCGGCUGAAUUCUAUGAAUUAGAUACUGAAUAACAACGUCAGCAGCUGUUACUACUAUUGGUUUUUACGACCAGAUAUGCGUAGUCCCUUCGAUGUCGUAAUAACAGAUUUUGACUGUAUUAAUUCACAGGCGGGAGUCGCUGUUCCAUGUGUUUAAUGUUAAUUCAUAUAUAAAUUGGCUGCGUUUCUUUAACAACUUUUGAAAAACUGAUUUAUGAGUACACAGAAAUGACACGCCACUAAUAAUAA